GUGAAUCAUCAAAUUUUUGAACGCAAAUUGCACUCUCUGCUAUUCCGGAGAGUAUGCCUGUUUGAGGGUAAGUUUAAAUAAAAAUCGGUGUGGUUGCUGCCUUUCGUGGUGACGCAUCGGAUUUGGGUCGUCUUGUCUUCUGUUAAGUGACCUUAAAUUUUGCAUGUUUUUUUUCGAAAGUAUUCAAAUGUUUUUACGUAUAUUUGUGAUAUCGAUUACUU
rnacentral:misc_RNA from 1 species